AAAUCCCGCGAGGGUGGCUGUGACGGGUUACGCGUCAAGUUGGAGGGCAAUUCCUAAUCGGUUCACGUCUCGACGGGUAAAAAGAAAAAAAGCGAAAUGAACAUAAGCGCAGUGAAGAACAACGAAUGGUGAAUAAAGAGUGUUGCUGCAGGGGCACUUUCACUGACGACCCUAUCUGCAACUAGAAGCACGUCUACCAACAGCGCCAAGCAGUACAUACCGUCAAACUCCAAAUGAACAAUAGAAGGUUUAGCAAGUGCUCAGAAGAGAAGAACGUGUUCUAUUAAACUUAUUGAAUUUCCCUUUGAUUACUAUUAUAUAUAGUUUGUUGCCACACUAAAAGCCAAGUACACUCAGGUUUCUACACCAAAAGAGGUACUAGUUAGUGCAGGUUAGAAAAAUGAAUUAUUUAUUUAUGCUUGAAGUAUAUUAUAUUUUCUAUAAUUACCCAGCGAACCACUGUUACCGUUAGGGUUAUAUUCAACGCGUGUCCAUUGUAUAAGAUACACAGGCACACUGUAAUGUAUGUGUUAUUCUUAUACCAUAUUUUGUGAAACUAAUUCAGGUAUUUUUAGCUUGAAGCUGAUUACCAAAUAAAUCACGGCUAUCGGAAGAACAGCGUGUUUUCCCUGACUUACACGAACAAAAACUUCAAGAUUACAAUGGACACAAGCAGGACUACCCCGAAGGCCGGCGAAUCAAACUGUUCUGGUUGUAAACGGCCCAACAGUUAUGACGAUAUGGUAGCUUGCGACGAAUGCGGAAGAUGGUGGCACUACACAUGUGCCGGAGUAACGUCGUCUGUCACAGAUCGCCGCUGGAGUUGCAUAAAGUGCUUACCAGCUCCUGCGAAAUCUACAUCGACUAGUUCGUCUGCUCGUCGCGCCCGUUUGCAGUUGGAACUGCAACAUUUAACUGAGCAGAAAGAGUUAAAACGGAAACAAAAUGACCUUGACCUAGAGAAGCAGUUUUCCCAGGAUAAAUUCCGGCUUGAAUCAGCUGCUUUGGAAGAGGAAGAAACGGAUAAUCGCAGUGUUAGAAACCAUGUAAUUGAGACUCAGGAACGGAUAAAGCACACCAGUGAGUGGGUAGAAAAAACAAUCGACCCUCAGAUAGUUGUGUCACCUUCGCCAACUAAAAUUCCGCAAGGACAACCAGAACAGACCGGGCCAACCGAACCUGUUAAUAUUUGUCAAGAAACUGCUGCGGCUACCGGCGGGUUGGACAACGCCAUCACAACUAGUCUAAAUCAGGAUGUCACCCAAACUAAAAGGAAACUUUAUGUCUCUAGAGAUAUUAAGCAGUUACCGAAUACCGGCACAUUAGAACAUUUACAAGAGCUCGAACAGCAGCUUCAACGUUGCUGGAUGCAACUUACCAAGUCAAAAUCAGAUCUUCAAUCUCACCGAAGCCCGAGUCAACCACCUGUACCUACAGUAUCAUUAGAUUCUCAGCAGCAAGCUGGUCCUUCGAGUCGUUCAACCGCAGCGCCUCUACCACCACAUCGGUCCGGUGCUCAAGCUGUUCGGAACGAGUUAAGAGAGCGAAUAACGAAUACGACUCAGAAUGUAUAUUCUAAUCGCGGACAUAAUCCGCUUUCCACUGGAGCACCAACAUACCCUCCGAUCGCUCAGAGUCUGCCAAUAGAGUGCAGCAUACAAUCACAGAUUGUCCCUGAAAAUAUUCGUCUAUCGGAACAGCCUUCCCAGAUCAGCCACCGUUCAUUCCACCUAACUCAGGAACAACUAACAGCGAGGCAAAUAACGCCCCGCGAUCUGCCAGAUUUCUCAGGUGACCCAGAGGAAUGGCCUCUGUUUUAUAGCAGUUAUAAGAACUCGACGGCCACCUGUGGAUACACAGAUACAGAAAACAUGACACGACUACAAAGAUGCUUAAAAGGAAACGCUUUGAAGUCCGUGAGGUAUUAUCUACUAGCACCGGAAAACGUUCCGGAGGUAAUGAGAACUCUGCAGACCCUAUAUGGGCGUCCUGAAAUUAUCAUAAACAAGCUGAUAAGAAAUGUACGGGAGUGUCCUACGCCCAAGGCUGAAAAGCUUGAAACCUUGAUGGAUUUUGGUUUAACCGUUAGAAAUCUAACCCAACACUUAAUCGCAACAGGACAGCGAACACAUCUAUCGAAUCCUGUGCUGCUUCAUGAGGUCGUCGAAAAACUUCCUUCAAGUUUUAAACUGCAGUGGGCAGAAAAACUCAUCGCGUGUCCAACCGCUGAUCUGAGAACUUUCAGUGAUUUUAUGUCACAUGUGGUAGAAUCAGUUAGCAAAGUGUGCUCGUACGUAGAGCAACCUUUCGUCAGGGUUGAUCGAAAUAAAAAUAGAGAAAAGGGGUAUUUCAAUGCCCACAUGGAGGACAAAAAUGAAUAUGGAAAUAUGGUAGUGUCAGAAGUUAAGAGACACUGUCUCGUCUGCGCGAGAGAUCACCGGGUCCAGGACUGUCCUAAGUUCAAAGACAGCGACAUCGAGAGCCGUUGGAAAUUUGUGCACACACUGAAGCUUUGUCGAACAUGCCUGAACCCUCACGGGCGUCGUCCUUGUCGGAACAUCAAUCGGUGUGGAAUCGACGGAUGCCAAUUUCGGCAUCAUCCAAUGUUACAUUCAUCACGCACAAGUAACGCGCUCGCCAGUAAUGCGAACCUGACAUAUCACCAUUGUGGACAAUCGGUCCUGUACCGGAUAAUACCGGUAGUAGCGUACGGCAUCACUUGUUCCGUUAAGACCUUUGCCUUUCUGGAUGAAGGGUCGUCGACGACAUUAGUAGAAUCUGGUCUCGCCCAUCAGCUUGGAUUACAGGGUCCGCAGGUACCUCUUUGCUUGCAGUGGACCGCCAACAUGUCGCGAAUUGAGAAUACGUCACAGGUGAUUUCCGUGGAUGUAUCAGAGAUCGGGAAAAAGACUCGCCACACUCUGGAGAACGCACGGACGGUAGAUCACCUCAAUCUUCCCCAGCAGACGUUGAGGGUUGAACCACUCCAAAAACAAUUUCAACAUCUAAUUGGUUUACCGGUACGCAGCUACGAAAAUGCUGUUCCACAAAUACUGAUCGGGCUUCGUGAUCUAUCUUUGGCUGUACCUUUGAAGAUCAAAGAAGGGGUAAAAGGACCAAUAGCAUCCAAGACGCGCUUAGGAUGGUGUAUCUACGGUCAUGUAGAUGGCGGACGAGACGUUGAACACCUCAAUUAUCACACGUGCGAUUGUUCAGCCAUAGUGAAGCUGGACACUAUAGUACGCGAUUAUUUCAAUCGGGAAGACACCGGUGUGACACCGCUCCAACCGCUGGAAUCCGUAGACAACCAACGGGCUAUGGACUUGCUCCAGCGAACGACGUACAAAGUUGACGGUAGAUUCUGUACGGGUCUACUCUGGAAGAAUGAUCAUUUCGAGCUUCCAGACAGUUACGGAAUGGCACUUCGGCGACUCACAUGCUUGGAGCGACGCAUGAAGCGAGAUCCAGUAGUAGGAGAAAGUAUUCACCGCCAACUCCGUGAUUAUCAAACAAAACAAUACGCCCAUCGCGCAACGAAAGAGGAACUGGAAUCCGCAGACCCUCGCCGUAUUUGGUACCUUCCUUUAGGGGCUGUGACUAAUCCUAGAAAACCAGGAAAAGUGCGCCUUAUUUGGGACGCCGCUGCUGUUGUCGAUGGUAUUUCCUUGAAUACUCUUCUGCUCCCUGGACCGGACAUGCUGACUCCUUUACACUCAGUUUUAUUUCGAUUCCGACAGUUUCCAUUUGCCGUCUCGAGUGACAUUGCCGAGAUGUUCCAUCAGAUUAAAGUGAUAGAACCCGAUCGUCAUUCUCAGCGAUUCUUGUGGCGUGAUAAUCCAGAAGAUCCACCGCAGAUUUUUCUAAUGGACGUGCUAACCUUUGGGGCCACCAGUUCACCAACAUCCGCGCAGUACGCGAAAAAUAGGAACGCUGAGGAAUUUGCAGAACGAUACCCUAGAGCGGUAGAAAGUAUUUUGAGGAGUCAUUACGUCGAUAAUUUGCUCGAUAGCUUUGUUACUGUCGAAGAAGCGAAAUCCGUCUCCAGUGAAGUGCGCUGGAUUCACUCCAAGGGAGGAUUCCACAUUCGUGAUUGGGUCUCCAAUAGCCAGGAAGUCAUCCGUUUCAUGGGCGAGGAACCGAAAGAAGAAACAAGAGACCUCAUUCAAACAAAGGGUGCCAACGCCGAACGCGUGCUGGGCAUGCUGUGGCAUCAUAGAAUUGAUACACUUACAUUUUCCGUUUCGAUUAGUGACGAAAUACAUACUCUUUUAGACACAGCUACACGCCCAACCAAGAGGCAAGUCUUGAAAUGUAUUAUGUCCCUUUUUGACCCCCUGGGGUUGCUAGCCAACUUCUUAAUCCACGGCAAGAUCCUCAUGCAAGAAAUUUGGAGAACCGGGAUAAAAUGGGACGAUCGCAUCGAUGAACACCUUUUCGAGCUAUGGAAAAGGUGGACGAGCUUGCUUGAUAGUGUGGACGGCGUUCAAAUCCCAAGAUGCUACUUUCAAGGGGCAAAUCCAUCCCUUUACGAUUCGAUCGAAGCACACGUGUUCUGCGAUGCGAGCGAAGAAGCUUAUUCAGCAGUGAUCUACUUCCGCGUAAUCAGACCAGAUGGAGUCCCACAGUGUAGACUAGUGGCAGCUAAAGCAAAGGUGGCUCCGUUAAAAUAUGUUUCUAUCCCUCGCUUAGAGCUAAUGGCUGCUGUAUUAGGUGUCCGUCUGCUGUCGUUCGUUAUCGAAGGUCACACAAUACCGAUCAUGAGCAGGUUUCUCUGGUCUGAUUCGAACACAGUGCUGGCAUGGAUUCAUUCGAAACAUCGAAAGUACAGGCAAUUCGUUGCCUGCCGCGUCGGUGAAAUAUUGACUUCAACAAACGAAAGUGAGUGGCACUGGGUACCGAGUGCGAUGAAUGUGGCUGAUGAGGCCACCAAAUGGACAAAAAGCCCACAUUUUGAUUCAACCAGCAGAUGGUUCCAAGGACCAGAUUUCCUUCUGGGAUGUAAGGAUCAAUGGCCUGUUCCGAAGAAUUGUAUCACAACCACAGACGAAGAAAUUCGCCCAUGCCAUCUUCAUCAUGUGACGGACGAAUACGUUCCAAUGAUCGUAUAUGAACGAUUUUCCCGAUGGGGCCGCAUGGUGAGGACCAUGGCUUACGUUAUGAAGUAUAUAUCCUUGAAAAAACGAGGAAUUGGGAACAGAGUUCUAAUGCAGGAAGAGAUUCGGGCAGCAGAGAUGGCGAUAUGGCGACAAGUCCAAGCUGAAGUCUAUUCGAACGAGGUGGCCAUUCUGAAGAAGAAUAAACAUCUACAGCAAAAGGAGUUACUAGCGAUACCUAAAUCCAGCGCUAUUUAUAAGUUGACUCCAGUUCUUGACAACGAAGGGAUUCUACGCAUCGAUGGUCGCAUUGGAUUGGCAAAACAGAUCACGACUGAGGUAAAAUAUCCUGUGAUCCUACCCAAGACACAUCGGGUGUCCUUCCUAAUCAUCGACGAUUACCAUCGAAAAUAUCUUCAUGCUAAUUCCGAAACCAUUGUCAACGAAGUAAGGCAACAAUAUUACAUACCGCAGCUACGCGUACUCACAAGAAAAGUGGCACGACAUUGUCAGUGGUGUAAAGUGUAUAAAGCACACCCAACUACACCGAAGAUGGCGCCACUACCCAUCGCACGGCUCUCACCUUUCAUCCGACCUUUCAGCUAUACCGGAUUAGACUACUUCGGUCCAAUACAAGUGAAAGUGUUACGAUCAACUGCUAAAAGGUACGUUGCUUUGUUCACGUGUCUUACUAUCAGGGCGGUACACGUAGAAGUGGCGUAUGAUCUUUCUACGGAGUCGUGCAUCGAAGCAAUACGUCGGUUUGUGUGUCGACGGGGGGCGCCACUCGAAAUCCAUUCCGAUAAUGGUCGAAACUUCUGCGGGGCGAACAAUGUGCUGAAAGGGCAAAUCGAACGAAUUGAAACGGAAGCAGCAUCAACAUUCACGAAUGCAUACACAAAGUGGGUGUUCAUCCCACCGUCAGCCCCCAGUAUGGGUGGUAGCUGGGAGCGUUUGGUGCGAUCGAUUAAGGUGGCGAUGGCUGGUUUCUCUCAAAACAAAAAGCUAAGUGAUGAAGGUCUCCAAACACUCGUGAUUGAAGCAGAAUCUCUCGUGAAUAGCAGGCCACUCACUUACCUGCCGUUAGAUUCAGCAGAGCAGGAAGCUUUGACGCCGAACCAUUUUCUGCUAGGCAGCAGUAGUGGUAUCAAACAACCAUCUGUUCUCAUGUUGGAUGCAGCAAAAACGGCUCGCAACUCCUGGGAUCUGAUUCAGCAGAAUCUAAAUCACUUCUGGUCUCGAUGGGUGCGAGAGUAUCUACCGACUCUUACUAGACGAACCAAGUGGUUUGGAGAUACCAAAGCAAUUGAACCUGGUAACUUAGUCAUCAUCAUAGACGAGAACAGAAGAAACGGCUGGACCAGGGGACGAAUCUUGCAGGUGAUCGUCGGUCAAGAUGGGCGCAUACGACAAGCUGUGGUGCAAACAGCAGGAGGCAUAUUCCGCCGGCCAGUGUCAAAGCUGGCGGUAUUGGACGUAAAAAGUAAUGGUAAAGCUGAGUCUGCAACUGAUCUUUACGGGAGGGGGGAUGUUGCUGCAGGGGCACUUUCACUGACGACCCUAUCUGCAACUAGAAGCACGUCUACCAACAGCGCCAAGCAGUACAUACCGUCAAACUCCAAAUGAACAAUAGAAGGUUUAGCAAGUGCUCAGAAGAGAAGAACGUGUUCUAUUAAACUUAUUGAAUUUCCCUUUGAUUACUAUUAUAUAUAGUUUGUUGCCACACUAAAAGCCAAGUACACUCAGGUUUCUACACCAAAAGAGGUACUAGUUAGUGCAGGUUAGAAAAAUGAAUUAUUUAUUUAUGCUUGAAGUAUAUUAUAUUUUCUAUAAUUACCCAGCGAACCACUGUUACCGUUAGGGUUAUAUUCAACGCGUGUCCAUUGUAUAAGAUACACAGGCACACUGUAAUCUUGAAGCUGAUUACCAAAUAAAUCACGGCUAUCGGAAGAACAGCGUGUUUUCCCUGACUUACACGAACAAAGAGUAUACAGAAAAAGGGAAGGAUCUUCGCUGGUCAGCGCUGAAGACUCGUGAAAGUGAAAGUGAAAUGGU